rnacentral:rRNA from 1 species
GAUGAACGCUGGCGGCGUGCCUAAUACAUGCAAGUCGAACGAGAGCGACCGGUGCUUGCACUGGUCAAUCUAGUGGCGAACGGGUGAGUAACACGUGGGUAACCUGCCCAUCAGAGGGGGAUAACAUCCGGAAACGGAUGCUAAAACCGCAUAGGUCUUCGAGCCGCAUGGCUUGAAGAGGAAAAGAGGCGCAAGCUUCUGCUGAUGGAUGGACCCGCGGUGCAUUAGCUAGUUGGUGAGGUAACGGCUCACCAAGGCCGUGAUGCAUAGCCGACCUGAGAGGGUGAUCGGCCACAUUGGGACUGAGACACGGCCCAAACUCCUACGGGAGGCAGCAGUAGGGAAUCUUCCGCAAUGGACGCAAGUCUGACGGAGCAACGCCGCGUGAGUGAAGAAGGUUUUCGGAUCGUAAAACUCUGUUGUUAGAGAAGAACAAGUGCUAGAGUAACUGUUAGCGCCUUGACGGUAUCUAACCAGAAAGCCACGGCUAACUACGUG